rnacentral:lncRNA from 10 species
AAUAAACUUACUUUUGCUUUGCACUGUGGACUUGCCCUGAAUUCUUUCUUGUGGGAGAUCGAAGAACUCUCUCUUGGUGUCCGGAUCGGGACUCCUUUCCGGUAACAUCACUAUGUUGCCCAGGCUGGUCUUGAACUCCUGGCCUCAAACCAUCCUAUAGAUUCGACCUCCGAAAGUGCUGGGGUUACAGGCAUAGCCACUGUGCCCAGCUGGAACAAUCUUUAUGAAGGUGAAUUAAAGCUGUGAGGCAUGAGACCAGAAAAGAUGCACCAGGAGUAAUGGAUUUUGGUGGAGAAUGAGCCACAGAAACGCGAUCAUGAGGCAAAUGGUGGGGCCUAACCCUGCCUUCUCAGUCCUCGGGAUGGGAGACCGGGCUAGAGAAGAGAAGGCUGGUGUGAAAACGCCGGGAGGCCCUCAUCGAGCCUCAUUCUCAGCCACAUCGUAAGGAUUUAGAGGCCCUAAGCACUGACGACGCUGUGGUGCCACAAAAAUAGACAAGCAGGGCAUGUGCGCUGAAGCUGGAAGAGGCUUCUUCCAUAUUUUCAUUGCAAAAUCAGAACUUUGGACCCGCUUUGCAGAUAACCCUGCAUUUUACCGAGAUGUCAAAGCAGGAAGUGCUUGGCUGGAACAUCUGCCGACAGCCUCAUCUCUUUCUGCAAGAUCAUGAUGUUCUGCAUGCUCCUGUGGCCUCUUAUUUCACGUUGCUUUUGCUUUAUUUUUAUUUUUUUCCAUGUUUCCUCCUGGCAAGCUCUCCCUGCAAAUUUUGAAACAACUUUAAAGAUGAAUAAAAAGCAGCUCAGCAAGUGAAUCCCAGAUCCCGGGCCAAACUCCGACGCCCACGAGCUCGCUCAGAAUUGGCUCAGGCUGCAAUCACUUCUCUUCUCCUACCUCCACACCAUUCCCUGAUGGUGGACAGCUUCUCCUUUGAGAACCACACCUGCCUUUUCAGACAAAAGGAGACACCACCCACCCUCCUGCUGAGGGCUGCUCCCCUGGGGCCUUCUCAGCACACCUCUCUCUCUCUAGGUCAAAAAACAAAUUUCACAUGCUGAAUUUUUACCUUUUUUAAAGUGACUCCGAAUUUUGGCACCAGCAAUUAAUUCAACACUUGAAUAAGAUUUGAAAACCUCACAACAAAUCACAAAUAUAUUAUGGGUCCUGUU